GCUUGUCUCAAAGAUUAAGCCAUGCAUGUCUAAGUAUAAACGACUUUAUACUGUGAAACUGCGAAUGGCUCAUUAUAUCAGUUAUAGUUCAUUUGAUGGUCCUUUUUAUUUGCUACUUGGAUAACCGUAGUAAUUCUAGAGCUAAUACAUGCAUCAAACCCCGACUGUUACCGGAAGGGGUGUAUUUAUUAGAUUGAAAGCCAAAAUUAAAAAACUGGUGAUUCAUGAUAACUUUCGGAUCGACAGGUCUAAACAACUUGUCGAUGCAUCAUUCAAGUUUCUGCCCUAUCAGCUUUGGAUGGUAGGGUAUCGGCCUACCAUGGCUUUAACGGGUAACGGAGAAUUAGGGUUCGAUUCCGGAGAGGGAGCCUGAGAAAUGGCUACCACAUCCAAGGAAGGCAGCAGG
rnacentral:rRNA from 1 species